AACGAAAUGACUGAGAGGUAAGGUGCACGCCCUGCAAAGCGUGGCUUUUAUCAAAACAGGCUGGACCCCCAUCCCCCUUUUUUGAUAACUCGCCGGUUCGAAUCCGGCUUUCGUUU
rnacentral:tRNA from 1 species